rnacentral:tRNA from 1 species
UAGGAGUGCCAGAUGAAAUGGGUUUGAUUUAGGAUUAGAUGAUGGCUGUUAGCCCUCUUGC